CCUACGGGAGGCAGCAGUGGGGAAUAUUGGACAAUGGGCGCAAGCCUGAUCCAGCCAUGCCGCGUGUGUGAAGAAGGCCUUCGGGUUGUAAAGCACUUUUGUUGGGGAAGAAACCGGUCGGAUUAAUACUUCGGCUGAAUGACGGUACCCAAAGAAUAAGCACCGGCUAACUUCGUGCCAGCAGCCGCGGUAAU
rnacentral:rRNA from 1 species